CCUACGGGAGGCAGCAGUGGGGGAUAUUGCACAAUGGGGGGAACCCUGAUGCAGCGACGCCGCGUGGGUGAAGGAGUGCUUCGGCAUGUAAAGCACUAUCGGAAGGGAAGAAGCAAGACGGUACCUGACUAAGAAGCCCCGGCUCACUACGUGCCAGCAGCCGCGGGAAUACGUAGGGGGCGAGCGUUAUACGGAUUCACGGGGUGGAAAGGGAGCGUAGACGGCCAUGCAAGCCAGGUGUGAAAGCCCGGGGCCCAACCCCGGGACUGCCCUUGGAACUGCAUGGCUGGCGUGCGGGAGGGGCAGGCGGAAUUCCUAGUGUAGCGGUGAAAUGCGGAGAUAUCAGGAGGAACCCCAGCGGCGAAGGCGGCCUGCUGGACCGCGACUGACGGUGAGGCGCGAAAGCGUGGGGAGCGAACAGGAUUAGAUACCCCAGUAGUC
rnacentral:rRNA from 1 species